rnacentral:rRNA from 1 species
CCCCCGGGCGCCCCUGGGCCCCACCGCGGGCGCCCGCCGGAGGUCACCAAACUCUUGAUAAUUUAUGGCCUCUCUGAGUCUUCUGUACUGAAUAAGUCAAAACUUUCAACAACGGAUCUCUUGGUUCUGGCAUCGAUGAAGAACGCAGCGAAAUGCGAUAAGUAAUGUGAAUUGCAGAAUUCAGUGAAUCAUCGAAUCUUUGAACGCACAUUGCGCCCGCCAGCAUUCUGGCGGGCAUGCCUGUUCGAGCGUCAUUUCAACCAUCAAGCCCCCGGGCUUGUGUUGGGGACCUGCGGCUGCCGCAUGCCCUGAAAAGCAGUGGCGGGCUCGCUGUCGCACCGAGCGUAAUAGCAUACAUCUCGCUCUGGUCGCGCCGCGGGUUCCGGNCGUUAAACCACCUUUUAACCCAAGGUUGACCUCGGAUCAGGUAGGAAGACCCGCUGAACUUAAGCAUAUCAAUAAGCGGAGGAA